GAGUUUGAUCCUGGCUCAGGACGAACGCUGGCGGCGUGCUUAACACAUGCAAGUCGAACGGUGACGACGGAGCUUGCUCUGUCUGAUCAGUGGCGAACGGGUGAGUAACACGUGAGUAACCUGCCCCCGACUCUGGAAUAACCGUGGGAAACGACGGCUAAUACCGGAUAUGAGACGCACAGGCAUCUGUGUGUCUGGAAAGAUUUAUCGGUCAGGGAUGGACUCGCGGCCUAUCAGCUUGUUGGUGGGGUAAUGGCCCACCAAGGCGACGACGGGUAGCCGGCCUGAGAGGGCGACCGGCCACACUGGGACUGAGAUACGGCCCAGACUCCUACGGGAGGCAGCAGUGGGGAAUAUUGCACAAUGGGCGCAAGCCUGAUGCAGCGACGCCGCGUGAGGGAUGAAGGCC
rnacentral:rRNA from 1 species